AGACACACCAGGCCGCCAUGUUGUGUAAGGUUAGUCUCUCAGCCUCCGCGAGAAGAAGGCGAAAAAUGGGGAGGAGCAGCCUGGUUACUUUCAAACGAGAAAGAACGGAUAUGUUAAGCGUGGAGGGCUCCUAAUGGUAGCGGUUUGAUUUUCAGUGAGUUUGGCGCGGUGGAGACGUCACCGCGGUCUAACAGUUCCGACGUGGUGGCGUCAUCACUGGCCGCCGUAGGAGGUGGAGCUACGUUGGCCUCGUGACCGGGCCCUGUAGCGGAAGCCCAGGUCAAGGCCCUAACAAAAGGGCCCGCCUAUGGCCACAGUUUCAGGCCCUCCUUUCAGUCAUGGACUGUUGAAGCACGAUUUCCUGGUGCUUUCGCCCCUUUCACCGACCAUUUCAAGAGUCCGUAGUUCUCGCCUGGGUUUGGAUUCGGUAUAAGUGAGCCUGUUUACCAUCAAAGAAAAUGGUGAAAUGUCUUCUGGAGACGAUGUUCUCUUCUGGUUCUAACCCUGUCACUCAGUGAGACCCCCAGAGAAGCCUAGUUUUCAGAUUAUUCUAGUCCUUGGCAGGCUCAAGAUGUCAACAACACGGUUGGAAACAACCCCUGAGAGGUCACAUAGCGCGCACUCAGCUUUACAGAUCGUCCAAGGCAGCGACCCCUGAGAGGUCACAUAGCGCGCACUCAGCUUUAUAGAUCGUCCAAGGCAGCAAUUAGAAUCAGCAACUCGGAGAGGAAAAAAAGCUGUUAGCGGAAUGGAGGCUGACCAUUAUCUGUAGUAAAGAAUCGGAAGUACAGUACAAAAAUAAAUUACCGAAACGCAACAUGCGUGAAUUUCACACAAAAAAAUGAAGUUGAGGGAAAGAAGCCAGACAUGGAAGAGUUCAUAUUGCGUGGUUCCAUUUAAAAACUAGCCCAUGGUGUUAAUGAGCAUAGUGGGGAGGACAAUGACAUGAAAGAGCCACCAGGGGGCUUUUGAGGUUCAGGUAAUGUUUCUUGAUUUGGACACUGAUUAUAGAUAGGUGGGUUCACUUUAGAAAUCUCAUUGAGUUGUAAACGUAUAUUUAUGUACGUAGUUUUUUCUGUAGAUUAUGCUUAAGGCCCGGCGAAGGGGAAUUUGCCCAGGUAAUGGAAAUAUUACACCGAUACAUAGAAUUGUCAAAGUUCAUGGGAUGAACUCCUAAGAGCUGUGUAUUUUAUCGUAUAAAUUUUUUUAAGUGUCCAACCAAUAGCCUGGAAUUAUUAAGUACAUAAUUAAAUAAAAACAAAUAUCCCAUGGACCUAAUGCAGUGAACAGUUACCUCGUUCUCUUAAUUGCUCAGGCUAAGGACUCAUACCUGAGUCUUCUAUCUCAGGCCUUACAUCUUAUAUAACAAGCCUUACUGGCUUAAUCUUCAAAAUAUGUAGCGAAUUUAACGAGUUCUCACAACCUCUGCUUCUACCACCUGACGGGGUUUGGGACAUGCUACCCAAAAAUAUGGCACCUAGACAUAUUGAAUACUUUGAACUGAAGGAAUUUGAGAAAGAACAUAUGCAGGAAUGUCUCUAACUUUCUUGCACCUUUCUGCUCUGAAGCAGGACGUAAUACCCUCAUGUGAGAAUUGCCCUGUCUAUACCUGGAAUAAAAGUAACAUCUUUAUCUCUGAAAACACAGGGACGUAGAGACGAAUAUGAACAUCAGGCCUUGCUAAGUUUCCCCCAGUUUAUUACCCUUAGAUCACAGUCUUUUAGCCCCAUCACAUUUUCCCACAAUUCUCCAUUCUUCUUCAAACCUACUCUAAACAACAC
rnacentral:lncRNA from 1 species